rnacentral:rRNA from 1 species
UACGUAGGGUGCAAGCGUUAAUCGGAAUUACUGGGCGUAAAGCGUGCGCAGGCGGUUGUGCAAGGCAGGUGUGAAAUCCCCGGGCUCAACCUGGGAACUGCAUUUGUGACUGCACGGCUAGAGUGCGGCAGAGGGAGAUGGAAUUCCGCGUGUAGCAGUGAAAUGCGUAGAUAUGCGGAGGAACACCGAUGGCGAAGGCAAUCUCCUGGGCCUGCACUGACGCUCAUGCACGAAAGCGUGGGGAGCAAACAGG